rnacentral:lncRNA from 1 species
CUACUCCAGUCCUCUCCACCCCAAGCUCUAUGCAACUCAUUUUCAUCUAGCAUUACCUCUCCAAAACCUGAAUCUCCACAAGAAAGCCACACAGCAAUUAACCAGUGUUGCAAGAACUGCUUCUGUAAUAAAGGUGGGAAGACAAAUUGAUGCAACCCUCUUGAAAAGCAAUCUGGCAAUAUGAACCAAGAGCCAUGAAAAGGCUUAUGCUAUUAUAAUUAAAUGGCUGUAAUGUUGGCUGUAAAUAUGAAAUUUUCUUUCACACACCAAUGUUUUCAAGAAUGGCAUAUUCACAUGCAGUAUGUGAUGAAAGAAGCAGUAAAGGAUGCUAACAAAGCUAUUUCUUUGGACAAUCUGAACCUGACGGAGUCUUACUCUGUCGCCCAGGCAGGAGUGCAAUGGCACAAUCUUGGCUCACCACAACCUCCGCCUCCUGGGUUCAAGUGACUCUCCUGCCUGGCCAUAGAAGCAAACACAAACAUAGAGGAAUUGGCUUUGGGCAGAUGGAAGGACCUCAGAGAAAAGAAACAAAGGAAAGAAAACUGGAUGGAUAAAGGUUUGUAGAAAUACUAUUCACAGGAAGCAAAUAGGAAUUCCUUAUCGCUAAACAGACACUAAGUCAAUUGGUUAUUGCUGGUGAAAAGGAUGUUUAAGCAGAGUGAGAGACUCUCAGCAAAAAAAGGUAACUGAAAGAGUGGUAAGUCAGACAAAGAAGAAAAAUGCCAAAGAAGAGGGUCAAGAACAACUCAUAUGACUCCGAAAUCCCUUACCCACAUUGGAGUUAUAAAAAGUUCAGGAGCUGGAGACAAAAGGCAGGUUCAUAAAGAGGAUUCCUUGGA